rnacentral:rRNA from 1 species
UACAGAGGGGGCAAGCGUUAUUCGGAAUUAUUGGGCGUAAAGGGCGCGUAGGCGGCCUGGCAAGUGGAUGGUGAAAUCCCUCGGCUUAACCGAGGAACUGCCAUCCAGACUGCUUGGCUUGAGACCGGGAGAGGUGAGUGGAAUUCCCAGUGUAGCGGUGAAAUGCGCAGAUAUCAGGAGGAACACCAAUGGCGAAGGCAGCUCGCUGGGACGGUACUGACGCUGAGGCGCGAAAGCGUGGGGGAGCGAACAGG